rnacentral:rRNA from 1 species
AGUGUCCUACGGGGCGCAGCAGUAGGGAAUCUUCCACAAUGGGCGAAGGCCUGAUGGAGCAACGCCGCGUGGGUGAAGAAGGUCUUCGGAUCGUAAAACCCUGUUGUUAGAGAAGAAAGUGCGUGAGAGUAACUGUUCACGUUUCGACGGUAUCUAACCAGAAAGCCACGGCUAACUACGUGCCCGCAGCCGCGGUAAUACGUAGGUGGUAAGCGUUAUCCGGAUUUAUUGGGCGUAAAGGGAACGCAGGCGGUCUUUUAAGUCUGAUGUGAAAUCCUUCGGCUUAACCGGAGUAGUGCAUUGGA